rnacentral:rRNA from 1 species
CCUACGGGAGGCAGCAGUAGGGAAUAUUGCUCAAUGGGGGAAACCCUGAAGCAGCAACGCCGCGUGAAGGAUGAAGGUUUUCUGAGUGUAAACUCCUUUUGUUAGAGAAGAUAAUUACGGUAUCUAACGAAUACUCACCGUCUAACUCCGUUCCAGCAGCCGCGGUAAUACGGAGGGGGCAAGCGUUACUCGGAAUCACUGGGCGUAAAGGGCGCGUAGGCGGGAUAGCAAGUCAGAUGUGAAAUCCUAUGGCUUAACCAUAGAACUGCAUUUGAAACUGUUAUUCUAGAGUAUGGGAGAGGUAGGUGGAAUUCGUGGUGUAGGGGUAAAAUCCGUAGAGAUCAAGAGGAAUACUCAUUGCGAAGGCGACCUGCUAGAACAUAACUGACGCUGAUGCGCGAAAGCGUGGGGAGCAAACAGGAUUAGAUACCCCAGUAGUC